UUUAUGGCUUGCAAAUGUAUUAGAAAACUUAUGCGAGUGAUUAUAGAAUUGCUUAUCCUUAUUCUCCUAAAAGUGCAAGCUAAUGAGCUUGCCUAAAUCUCUUUCCAUUCCUCAUCACCUUCCACACUGCUUCCUUAUUUUCAUAAACUUGAUAGAGUUCAAACUAAAGACAUUUUCCCUACCUCUUUUUGUCCCUUUCCACUACCUAUCAUGUAUCCUCACUCCUCUAAACUUGAUGAAAUUCAAGGAACAAUACAUACAUGCCAUGCUAAUUAAAUUAAACUGUGUGAAAUCAAAUUGCAACACCGGAUGAUUGGUUUUCAAUUUUGUAUUAUUUCGGCUUAUACAAAAUGUUGGUUGAGUCACCAUGGAGGAGAGAAGAUGACUUAUGAGCAUUUAUUUUGAGUAAAAAUUGUGUAAAACAUCGACGUGAUAUUGGGACCUGUUGCAAAGAAUGUUAUGAAAGGCAUUUCAAGACGCGCACAGAUGUCGUCUAUACACAAAAUCCCGAGCAUUAGAUAUGGUCAAUAAGUGAGGAAUGGCAAAAUUCAUGUGGAAUUGCUUGGAAAAUUCGGAAGUUCUGAAGAACUCGAUCGAUCGAUCGAAUUUUUCCCGAAGUCGAUCGAUCGAAAAUUUCCAGAACUUACUUUUGCAGAAGCGCGCCAGAACACCCAAUCAGGAGCUUCUCCAUGACAAAAAGUAGUUCUCCCUCUGAUUUUCGCAGCAGAACACGCUGGUUUCGUGACCUUGGUUGUCUCUAGCAAGAGAGGAACCCUAGAAGAGCUUCUGCAACUUACUGGGUACCCCGAAGAAUCGAUCGAUCGAAAAUAAAUUCGAUCGAUCGAGUUAGCAUCUGCCUAAUAUAAAGUCAAUCGAUCGAAAAUAUAUUCGAUCGAUCGAAAUAGACUUCGAUCGAACGAACUUUCUGCACAGCAGCAGCUCGGAACAAGGUGAGUAUCUCUGUUCCAGUACUUCUUUUAGUCCAU